rnacentral:misc_RNA from 1 species
AACCAUAGAAACCUGCGGAGUACCUGCGGAAGGAUCAUUACAGAGUUGCAAAACUCCCUAAACCAUUGUGAACCUACCUUCUACCGUUGCUUCGGCGGGCGGGCCUAGCGCCCCCCCGGCCCCCCGCGGGCGCCCGCCGGAGGAUAACCAAACUCUUGACAUCAGUGGCCUCUCUGAGUAUUCUUUACUGAAUAAGUCAAAACUUUCAGCAACGGAUCU